rnacentral:rRNA from 1 species
UACGAAGGGGGCUAGCGUUGCUCGGAAUCACUGGGCGUAAAGCGCACGUAGGCGGCUUACUAAGUCAGGGGUGAAAUCCUGGAGCUCAACUCCAGAACUGCCUUUGAUACUGGGGAUCUCGAGUCCGGAAGAGGUGAGUGGAACUCCGAGUGUAGAGGUGAAAUUCGUAGAUAUUCGGAAGAACACCAGUGGCGAAGGCGGCUCACUGGUCCGGUACUGACGCUGAGGUGCGAAAGCAUGGGGAGCAAACAGG